rnacentral:rRNA from 1 species
CGCGCAGGCGGUUUGAAUAGUCAGAUGUGAAAGCCCACGGCUUAACCGUGGAAGUGCAUUUGAAACUGUCAGACUUGAGUACCAGAGGGGAAAGUGGAAUUCCCGGUGUAGAGGUGAAAUUCGUAGAUAUCGGGAGGAAUACCGGUGGCAAAGGCGACUUUCUGGCUGGAUACUGACGCUGAGGCGCGAAAGCGUGGGGAGCAAACAG